rnacentral:rRNA from 1 species
UACGUAGGGCGCAAGCGUUGUCCGGAAUCAUUGGGCGUAAAGAGCUCGUAGGUGGUCUGUUACGUCUGCUGUGAAAACCUAGGGCUUAACCCUGGGCCUGCAGUGGAUACGGGCAGACUAGAGGUAGGUAGGGGAGAAUGGAAUUCCCGGUGUAGCGGUGAAAUGCGCAGAUAUCGGGAGGAACACCGGUGGCGAAGGCGGCUGCCUGGACCAGUCCUGACGCUGAGGCGCGAAAGCUAGGGGAGCAAACAGG